rnacentral:lncRNA from 1 species
UUCUAACUUAUUUAGAAGGCUAUAAAAUACUUAGGGCUGAGGGUAUAAAUAUUCUCUCUUACCUAAAACUUGUCAGCAGAAAGAUCCUUCUCCAUUGUUGUCACCUCCAGUGCCCCCUCUUGCCACCAUGGAGAUUGGGUCUGCUAUGUUUAUUGCUCUGUGCCUCAGUUACAGCUGUGACACUAAUCUGCCUGCAAAGACCAGCAAAGGGUGCGCGCGUGUGUGUGUGUGUGUGUGUGUGUGUGUGUGUGCGUGCAUGCAUGUGUGAGAAAAGAGAGCCUGCUGACUUCAAGACUGGGAACCUAAACCUCAGGCCAAGUCAAGGCUGAAUGAAAACGAUCAAAGCUCUGUCCUUCAUCAACAGAGUAGACGAGAUCUUUUCCCCCCCCCUCCCCAAGUGGAAAGUAGGACUGUCAUUAGGGAUUCCCACUAAGAAACCUCUAACAGAGGCAGACCUUCUCCAGACUGCUAGUGCCUGCCCAGCAGUCCGUGCAGAAUACAGGAAAUAAAAUGGACCACCUUAAUCAUAUUGAAAAGUACUGAAAGCAGUCAUCCCACCUGAUAAAUCUUAAGGAUCAAAAGAAGUCCUGAGGGCACAUUUUGGAACUGCUUGACCUUCAGCCACUGGAGAAGAGACACUGGCUGAGUAUGAACAGACCGCAAAGAAAUUGGACUGUCACUGGCAAAGAAAGACGCAAUACUCCAGGACUGAACCAAGCCUGCUUCUCAAUGCCAACACAUGGAGGGACACGUUACCUGGAACUCAAAACAGGGGCUGUCUGACUGGUGUUAAAAAACCAGCUUAUAGUCAGGUUGAAGAAAGGGGAAUAAAACACCUGCCCUUUCAUCGCCCAGCUAAUACAAGCUGCUCCAACCAACGCUUUAAACUUCUUGCCUAUCAUAUUUGGCCCCUUUCUUCCACUACAUUCAACCCUUGUAAUCAGCUAAUAUCCACAACACUAUGGUCAAAAACAUUUGCCAAGGAGGGAAUCAGGAAAGGCUGGGUUUGGGGUUUUCUUUCUUCACUGAGUCCCACUGGAAGAGAUCCCACAGCUUUUUCCAUUAUUUACAGUGAUUCAGAGGUAGAGUUGGAGGAAAUAAGAUUAACACUGAUUUGAAAGUCUAAGAGGUAAGCUAGGAAUGAGUAUCCCAGUGCUGAUUUCAGCCCACAUUAAGCAGCAAAGACCAAGUGAUUCUCAGCUGUGAGCCCUGGGACUGUAAAUAUAAUGGCA